GGGAGCAAACAGGAUUAGAUACCCUGGUAGUCCACGCCGUAAACGAUGUCGACUUGGAGGUUGUGCCCUUGAGGCGUGGCUUCCGGAGCUAACGCGUUAAGUCGACCGCCUGGGGAGUACGGCCGCAAGGUUAAAACUCAAAUGAAUUGACGGGGGCCCGCACAAGCGGUGGAGCAUGUGGUUUAAUUCGAUGCAACGCGAAGAACCUUACCUACUCUUGACAUCCAGAGAAGUUUGCAGAGAUGUGAACGUGCCUUCGGGAACUCUGAGACAGGUGCUGCAUGGCUGUCGUCAGCUCGUGUUGUGAAAUGUUGGGUUAAGUCCCGCAACGAGCGCAACCCUUAUCCUUUGUUGCCAGCGGUUAGGCCGGGAACUCAAAGGAGACUGCCAGUGAUAAACUGGAGGAAGGUGGGGAUGACGUCAAGUCAUCAUGGCCCUUACGAGUAGGGCUACACACGUGCUACAAUGGCAUAUACAAAGAGAAGCGACCUCGCGAGAGCAAGCGGACCUCAUAAAGUAUGUCGUAGUCCGGAU
rnacentral:rRNA from 1 species